rnacentral:rRNA from 1 species
GACGAACGCUGGCGGCGUGCUUAACACAUGCAAGUCGAACGGAAAGGCCCUGCGUUUGUGGGGUGCUCGAGUGGCGAACGGGUGAGUAACACGUGAGUAACCUGCCCUUGACUGUGGGAUAACUUCAGGAAACUGGGGCUAAUACCGGAUAGGAGCUCCUGCUGCAUGGUGGGGGUUGGAAAGUUUCGGCGGUUGGGGAUGGACUCGCGGCUUAUCAGCUUGUUGGUGGGGUAGUGGCUUACCAAGGCUUUGACGGGUAGCCGGCCUGAGAGGGUGACCGGCCACAUUGGGACUGCGAUACGGACCAGAAUCCUACGGGAGGCAGCAGUGGGGAAUAUUGCACAAUGGGCGGAAGCCUGAUGCAGCAACGCCGCGUGCGGGAUGACGGCCUUUGGGUUGUAAACCGCUUUCGCCUGUGACGAAGCGUGAGUGACGGUAAUGGGUAAAGAAGCACCGGCUAACUACGUG